CAUAGCGACGUUGCUUUUUGAUUCUUCGAUGUCGGCUCUUCCUAUCCCUGCCUCGCAUCCGGGGCAAACGGUAAGAUUGUUCACCUACCAACAGGGAACGUGAGCUGGGUUUAGACCGUCGCGAGACAGGUUAGUUUUAUCCUACUGAUAUGCGUUAUCUUCGUCGUGACAGUAAUUCAACUCAGUACGAGAGGAACCGUUGAUUCGCAUGACUGGUAAAUUCGGUUGCUCGACAGGGCAUUGCUGAGAAGCUGUCAUGCGUGGGAUAACGGCUGAACGCCUCUAAGCCGGAAGCCUCGCUGGAAA
rnacentral:rRNA from 1 species